UGCAGGGCUCGAACCCAUGAACUACAAGAUCAUGACCUGAGCCGACCUGAGCCGAAAUCAGACGCUUAACCGACUGAGCCCCCCAGGUGCCCCUGAAUACCUUUUAAAAAAUCAACUCACUUUUCAAAAACGAAGGCUGUUUUGGAAGGACAAUUGAAUCACAACUGUGAAAGAAGAGCCUGCAUCAUUUGCCAUCAACAAAAACAUAAACAGGAAGUGGGAAAUAUUCACACCGAACCCAGGGCCAUGUUCAAGUGCAGGGUGCACGCUCUUAAUGGACCAGCACUACCAGGAAAGGACCCGGAACCUAGGAGGCAUUCAGUAAAUACCCGCUGAACGAAUCGACUGUCUCCAAGGACCGAAAGAACGGAGCCUUUGCCAAGAAAAGAGGCUGGAUUCUCAGGCCCUCCACUUUAGAUCAAAUAGUGCUGCUUUACCAGGGAAAGACAGUUAGGGACCCCAAGGAGCUGUGGGAGCUCAGGAGGAGUGGGGAGAGCAUUCUCCAGGGACAAACUCCUUCUUGACCCCCUGCCCAGCCACCCUGGCACACUGCUGCCUGGGAGAAACCAGCCAGACACGCAGGCACGCUGCAGUUACUAAGUGAUGCUAAGUACAUCAAGAUGGGCAUCCUGACGCCAGCCACUCUGAGCGGAUCUGGAAUGAAUUGGGGGGUUGUUACGAUCGCCAACUUAAGCCUCUUCUCACAGGAAAAAUAUUUAUUUCACUGAGCUCUGCUUUUUGGAAAGCUGUGUCUGUAACAGUCUGCAUCGAUCGAGCAGAGUUUUGGCUACUGCUGGCUUCGUCUCUUCUCCUGUGUUGGGCUGUGUGUGUGCGCGUGUGUGCGUGCGCACGUGUGUCCAGUUUAAUACACGCUUUUUCUCCCCCCUGGUUUGGGGCAAAAAUACACACCAAUGUGAGGAGAAAAGUAAGCACUCCCAUCCUUCCCAGGGGCCGAUCAGCCUUUACUGCGCACUUUUUUCCAUUGCUUUUCUACUCUUGGAGCCGAGGGCCGGGGUUUGAAUCCCAGCUCUGCCCCUUGCUGGCCGCGUGACCCAGAGAGUCAUGUUACCACUUGGAACCUCUGUUUCCUCAUCUGUCAGAUGGAGUAAUAGGCCCGCGCCUUUGGGUGGGAGGAGGAGAUGAGAGGAAAUGUAUACAGAGCUUAGCAGAGUUUCCAGCACACAGUAAGUGCUCCAUAAAUGGUACCUAUUUUACGGGAGGAAUCUAUAUAAUUUUUGUACAUCAUUACACGUCCCACUAGACCCCAACUGCACGGAGGAAUAUUACUUUUUCGCUGUUGCUCACUUGACAUUUCGUUCUUUAAUUUGCAUUUCAAAACAUUUCAC